rnacentral:snoRNA from 1 species
UCUCAAUGAUGUUAGAAAAAAUAUUUGCUACUUCAGAGGGUCAAUCCCAGUGAGACCAUUUUAUACACCAAGAUCUCUGAGAUU